UGGAUCCAGACUUUGAUUCUGGCUCAGGAUGAACGCUAGCUACAGGCUUAACACAUGCAAGUCGAGGGGAAACGACAUCGAAAGCUUGCUUUUGAUGGGCGUCGACCGGCGCACGGGUGAGUAACGCGUAUCCAACCUGCCCAUCACUUGGGGAUAACCUUGCGAAAGUAAGACUAAUACCCAAUGACGUCUCUAGAAGACAUCUGAAAGAGAUUAAAGAUUUAUCGGUGAUGGAUGGGGAUGCGUCUGAUUAGCUUGUUGGCGGGGUAACGGCCCACCAAGGCAACGAUCAGUAGGGGUUCUGAGAGGAAGGUCCCCCACAUUGGAACUGAGACACGGUCCAAACUCCUACGGGAGGCAGCAGUGAGGAAUAUUGGUCAAUGGGCGAGAGCCUGAACCAGCCAAGUAGCGUGCAGGAUGACGGCCCUAUGGGUUGUAAACUGCUUUUAUAAGGGAAUAAAGUGAGUCUCGUGAGACUUUUUGCAUGUACCUUAUGAAUAAGGACCGGCUAAUUCCGUGCCAGCAGCCGCGGUAAUACGGAAGGUCCGGGCGUUAUCCGGAUUUAUUGGGUUUAAAGGGAGCGUAGGCCGGAGAUUAAGCGUGUUGUGAAAUGUAGACGCUCAACGUCUGCACUGCAGCGCGAACUGGUUUCCUUGAGUACGCACAAAGUGGGCGGAAUUCGUGGUGUAGCGGUGAAAUGCUUAGAUAUCACGAAGAACUCCGAUUGCGAAGGCAGCUCACUGGAGCGCAACUGACGCUGAAGCUCGAAAGUGCGGGUAUCGAACAGGAUUAGAUACCCUGGUAGUCCGCACGGUAAACGAUGGAUGCCCGCUGUUGGUCUGAAUAGGUCAGCGGCCAAGCGAAAGCAUUAAGCAUCCCACCUGGGGAGUACGCCGGCAACGGUGCAACUCAAAUGAAUUGACGGA
rnacentral:rRNA from 1 species